CCUACGGGAUGCACCAGUGGGGAAUAUUGCACAAUGGGCGCAAGCCUGAUGCAGCCAUGCCGCGUGUAUGAAGAAGGCCUUCGGGUUGUAAAGUACUUUCAGCGGGGAGGAAGGUGUUGUGGUUAAUGACCACAGCAAUUGACGUUACCUGCAGAAGAAGCACCGGCUAACUCCGUGCCAGCAGCCGCGGUAAUACGGAGGGUGCAAGCGUUAAUCGGAAUUACUGGGCGUAAAGCGCACGCAGGCGGUCUGUCAAGUCGGAUGUGAAAUCCCCGGGCUCAACCUGGGGACUGCAUUCGAAACUGGCAGGCUAGAGUCUUGUAAAGGGGGGUAGAAUUCCAGGUGUAGCGGUGAAAUGCGUAGAGAUCUGGAGGAGUACCGGUGGCGAAGGCGGCCCCCUGGACAAAGACUGACGCUCAGGUGCGAAAGCGUGGGGAGCAAACAGGAUUAGAUACCCGAGUAGUC
rnacentral:rRNA from 1 species